GAGAUAAGGCGUGCCAAAAAUAUAUUUGUAUCCACAAGUUUAAUAAAUUACUUACAUCAAAUACUUAUGUUAUCAUGAUAUAUGAUAUCCUCUUACAUAAUUGACGCCCAUUAUCACGUAUAACUGACUUAAUAAAAAUUUGAUUGUAGAAGGAAGUAACGUGAACAAGAUUUUUCAAGAAGAUUUUCAAUUUCAACGAGUUACAGAAUUAUUAUUACUCGUAGAAUUUCAAGUCUAAAACUAAUCUGAAACUGAAAACUUCGUUGAGAAAAGAAUUGCACGGAAUCGUGGAAUUUCAACUGCAAACACUUCUUAUCAAAAAUGAAGCCACGAUGAAAUCGAGGCGUGUUGUCACUCGUUAAUCCCCUUGUUAACACGAAAGAAACUAUCUUAGGAGGAUCUUCUGUACGAUGGAAGUUUUGACGUAGUUUGUGCUAGUUUUGAUGUUGAUUCAUGGCGAGAAAAAUAAUAAUAAUAAUAAAGAUAAUGCGUGAUUCUUUUUACCAUCUUUGAAUGGAAAGCAGAAGUGUUUAAAAUUCCAAAAAAAAAAGGAGGAAAGAAAUUUGUACGAUAAAUUGUUGAAGAAGAUGAUGGAAAUAAGUAAGAGUGUAUAUUUCUUUUGAAAAAAUAUGCGGCAAUUUUUAAUCAAAUUCUUAUCUCAAAUGUUAUUAACGAUUAUUAAUAGUUAUAUUCUAUAAUAUUGUGCAAUAUUCGAUUCGUAAUAUUUAAAACAUCAAUAUUUACAAUGGAAAAUCAACAUGGAUUAUGCUUUUGAUACAUAUUUGUGGUCAAUCGUAAUCAAUUAUUAAUUAAAUUGAUGUGAUUGUAUUUUAUACACCAUAAUUUGGGAACGUUAAUUAGUAAAUGAUGAAGUAAAGUUUGUUAUCGAAUAAACGAUUAUAAAAAUGAUUAUUAAAUUUAUAAUCUUUAUAUCAUUUAUCAAAGAUAGAAAGAUGUUAGAUAAAUUUCUGGAAAGAAAUAAAUAAUAAUAUAUUCAUAUUAUAAUACUAUUCCAAAUUUCCAACAUUUAUAGUAUCUAAUUCGUCGUACAAUAAUUGAGAAUCUCGAAGAGUGAAAAUCCAUUUGCGACAAUUUCAAAGAAAUUAAAAAAGAACUACUUAGAGAAAUUAUUUGUCUCAACAUUGAAAAGGAAUGAUUAAUCAUUAAAUCAACAAGUCCUCAGCUCCAACCAAAAAAAGAUUACUCGACUAAUUUUGAACAAUAAAACACAAUUCAUCAUCAUCAAAUUUUAUUAAUCAAGUUCGAAGUACUGAAGUUCAAAACCUUCUUGAUCAAAAUCAAAUUUAAUCUAAAAAAAAAGAAAACUCAAUAAGUCAAUCAAAACUUUAAUCCCUUGGAGAUUAUUUCAAUCACGGAGAAUGCCAACCGUCAAAUCGAAACCAGCUCCCAAACACGGAAUCAUCUUUCAUUAAUCGAGUGGAGGAUAGGGGCGAAAGCAUGGCGGAACAAAGAAUUCCGGGGGAACUUGUUCGGACUUAAUUUCGCCCCGGUGGCCCCGCCAUGAAUUCCCUGAAGCCCGGCAAAGUUUAUUAUUCCCGGCGGCAAAGACCUUUAAGCCUUUUACAUCGGUACUCGAGAAGUCGGCGUAACAAACGAGCGCUAGAGAUCGUCGGACAGUGGUGGAACGAAAAGAGAGAAAAGAGGAAAAAAGAAAGGAAAGGAAAGAGGAGAGAGGAAAAAAAAAUAAAUAAAGAAAGAAAGAAAGAAAGGAGUAGUACAUUCGCGGUAGCGGAGGCUUUAUUUUUGCCGGUUUCAUACGUCGUUCGGACUCUUUUCAACCCGUCCCAUGCGUCUCUACCCGGACAAAUAGUCCGACAUUAAUUUCCACCAAAUGAGAAAACUUCACCGAAUUAGUAACCGUCCGCCGCCCUCUCUCUUUGUAUAUUUACGCGGUAGGUGCUUUUACAAACUGUAGUGUGUGAGAAAGGACUUCUCACGCGUGUUCUUCUUUUUUUUUUUAACGACGUGACGACGUGUACGGAAUACAUCAGCUCUUGAAUCUACGUUUAAAAGUUGGAGGAAUUGGGAAUUUAUUGAUGAUGUAAGUUCAAUUUGAAUUAUUAGUUGGUGCGUUUAAAAUAAAAUUGAAGAAUGACACGUGAAAAUAUAGAUCGUAAGGGGUUGAGUUUAUUUGAGGAACUUUGAGACGUAUUUAGAGACGUUGGAGAAAUUAAGAGAUCGAGGAGAUGAUUGAUGAAUAAUUUUAUACGUUGUACAACUAUGUUUGAUGGGAUGAAAUAUCUUGAAAGGAUAAUUACGAUGACGGCGCGGUUAAUUUACGUGAAUUAAAGCGCGUAUUAAUCAUCGUGACGCGUUAAUUAUCAUUAAUCAUUGUUAAUGUAAUUUUAAUGGCAUCGAGUUAAGUAUUAAAGAGGCUGUGUAAACCGAAUGGAAUACGCGAAAACUAGUUAUCGUAAACUGGAGUGAAAAUAUGAUCAUGUUUCUGAUAAACUGAUAGCAACAAGAAAGAGGAAUUUAUAUGAAAUAAAUCCACUACUUUUUUCAAA